rnacentral:tRNA from 1 species
GGGGCUGUGGCUCAGUGGUAGAGCGUCUGCUUUGCAUGUGUAAGGUCCCCGGUUCAAUUCCCGCCACCUCCA